rnacentral:rRNA from 1 species
GAGGCGCGGCGUACAGCUCAGUAACACGUGGCUAACCUGCCCUUGGGACGGGAAUACCCCCGGGAAACUGGGGCUAAUUCCCGAUAGGUGAAGAACUCUGGAAUGAAUCUCCGCCCAAAAGACGCUUAAAUCAUACUUUUAGGCGCCGCCCAAGGAUGGGGCCGCGGCCGAUCAGGUAGUUGGUGAGGCAACGGCUCACCAAGCCUCUAACCGGUGCGGGCCGUGAGAGCGGGAGCCCGGAGAUGGGCACUGAGACAAGGGCCCAGGCCCUACGGGGCGCAGCAGUCGCGAAAACUUUGCAAUACACGAAAGUGUGACAGGGCUAUCCCGAGUGCCAUCCGCUGAGGAAGGCUUUUACCCAGUCUAGAAAGCUGGGAGAAUAAGGAGAGGGCAAGCCUGGUGUCAGCCGCCGCGGUAAUACCAGCUCUCCGAGUGGUGUGGAUGUUUAUUGGGCCUAAAGCAUCCGUAGCUGGCCAAGUUAGUCCCCUGAUUAAUCCACCGAAUUAAUCGUUGGAGUGCGGGGGAUACUGCUCGGCUAGGGGACGAGAGAGGCCGACGGUAUUUUCGGGGUAGGGGUGAAAUCCUAUAAUCCCGGGAAGACACCAGUGGCGAAGGCUGUCGG